ACGCACGCUGGCGGCAUGCCUAACACAUGCAAGUCGAACGCGACCUUCGGGUCUAGUGGCGCACGGGUGCGUAACGCGUGGGAACCUGCCCUUAGGUUCGGAAUAACUCCCCGAAAGGGGUGCUAAUACCGGAUAAUGUCUUCGGACCAAAGAUUUAUCGCCUUUGGAUGGGCCCGCGUUGGAUUAGCUAGUUGGUAGGGUAAAAGCCUACCAAGGCGACGAUCCAUAGCUGGUCUGAGAGGAUGAUCAGCCACACUGGGACUGAGACACGGCCCAGACUCCUACGGGAGGCAGCAGUGGGGAAUAUUGGACAAUGGGCGAAAGCCUGAUCCAGCAAUGCCGCGUGAGUGAUGAAGGCCUUAGGGUUGUAAAGCUCUUUUACCCGGGAUGAUAAUGACAGUACCGGGAGAAUAAGCUCCGGCUAACUCCGUG
rnacentral:rRNA from 1 species